rnacentral:rRNA from 1 species
AGGAAGUAAGAUCUUUUUCUAAAACCUAUUUACAUUGGCGGCAUUUCAUCUUAUUAGAGGAACUUGUUUAAUAAUCGACAAUCCACGUUAAUUUUCACUUUCAUUAAAAGUUUAUAUACCGCCAUCUAAAGAGUUAAUUCAAUAAUAUUUCUCUAAAUAAAAAAUAAAAAGUUAGGUCAAGGUGUAAUUUAUAUAAAAGUUUUAAAUGAGUUACUUUAAAAAAUAUUUAAGAAUUAAUUAAUAAUAACUUUUUAUGAAAAAGGAUUUAAAAGUAAUAUUAUAAAUAAUAAUUUUUUAUGAAUUAGAUAAUAAAUGUGC